rnacentral:tRNA from 2 species
GUAGUCGUGGCCGAGUGGUUAAGGCGAUGGACUUGAAAUCCAUUGGGGUUUCCCCACGCAGGUUUGAAUCCUGCCGACUACG